UGCAUCUGAAGCCUGACGAGGAUGAGAACCUACGGGGGCAGGAGGUUCGACCCGAGCGAAGCGAGAGAACGUUGCGUCAGCAACGGCCCGCAGGGCGAGCCACGCAGUGGCGAGUCAUCCUCUAUCACCGACCA
rnacentral:sRNA from 1 species